UACGGAGGGAGCUAGCGUUGUUCGGAAUUACUGGGCGUAAAGCGCACGUAGGCGGCUUUGCAAGUUAGAGGUGAAAGCCCGGGGCUCAACUCCGGAAUUGCCUUUAAAACUGCAUCGCUAGAGUUGUGGAGAGGUAAGUGGAAUUCCGAGUGUAGAGGUGAAAUUCGUAGAUAUUCGGAAGAACACCAGUGGCGAAGGCGACUUACUGGACCGGUACUGACGCUGAUGCGCGAAAGCGUGGGGAGCAAACGGGG
rnacentral:rRNA from 1 species